UAGCCUAGUGGUUAAGGCUAUGGGCUGCCAAUCCGGAGACUGCGGGUUCGAUUCCCGU
rfam:Aedes albopictus isolate Foshan contig50043, whole genome shotgun sequence.